CUGUCUUCCAACCCUAUUAUGUCUCCACAGAUCACCGGCUACAGCCCAAGCACAGCGCACGGCGUUUUCACAGCGCCGAGAAGACCUCUUUUCAGUCUCCUAACGAUCGUGCACGAUUAUCCGCCACACACACUUAUGGCCAUGUUAAUGGAUCGCGGAUCGUCGCAUGGUAGGGUUACAGCGAGUCAAAAUUGUUGACGGAAAAACUUCUCCAAAGUCACUUGAAGUGCAUAGAGCGGUACAGUGCGCAGCAAUUGAUCAUCCCAUGUUCAGCAUUUGCCUUCUUCACAAUGAUAUGAUUGCCAUAGUCGAGGACUUUAUCACUUUAUGUGUCUGAUUUCAUCAAGUAGAGCAUGGAUGACACAUCAAAUGAUGAUUCUCCAAAAUUGUUACACACUGCCGAAGUCCACGACUUCACUGAAAUCCUCUGGACUGAGGCCAAAUAAAAGAUGAUGUUGGCGACAGGGCCUGCCGGUGCCAGCUCCAGAAUUCUGGCCCCUUUUUCAAAGCAUAGAUCUCCUCCAUUAAAAGAGCGGCGUUAGGCUGGCCAUUGAAGUCGGAUGUAGAGAUUUAUCUCCAUAGCUGGUACACCCACUCUAUACUUCCCCUAUUCUAUAUAUAAUGAGGAGUAUAUUGAAACACAACUGCGAAAGCACAAAAGGGGCCCUUUCAAUCAUACAGUCUCGACUUCGUUCCAAAGCUCCAGUCCAUAGACCCACUGUCGGGGUAGUAUACUGGUGGUACACGACAGUUUUACUUCCAUCUCCCCCUCAGCAUUUGGAUCUUCUCCAUGUUGACAGACUGUCUCCCAAACUACCUUUGUUCGAAUUAGACAUAAAUAUAUCGGCGAUGAGAGCAAAUGCGGCAACGAAAAUGAAGCUUUGCAGGCCAAGUGCGACUGGGAAGGCUGUGAUGAUAUUUUCAUGCAUACUUGGCUCAGAAUAUCUGGAAACUGGUCGCUUGACCAGAAUUAGAGAGCAUCAUAUAAAGGGCGGCGUAACAUGGAACAUUAAAUGGGUUAUACCGCGGCGGGCUGCUGCCGCUUGGGCCCAGGUAUGAUCAACAGCG
rnacentral:sRNA from 1 species